GUGGGGAUAUUGCACAAUGGGCGAAAGCCUGAUGCAGCCAUGCCGCGUGUAUGAAGAAGGCCUUCGGGUUGUAAAGUACUUUCAGUCGUGAGGAAGGGUGUGCAGUUAAUAGCUGUACAUCUUGACGUUAGCGACAGAAGAAGCACCGGCUAACUCCGUGCCAGCAGCCGCGGUAAUACGGAGGGUGCGAGCGUUAAUCGGAAUUACUGGGCGUAAAGCGCAUGCAGGUGGUUCAUUAAGUCAGAUGUGAAAGCCCGGGGCUCAACCUCGGAACCGCAUUUGAAACUGGUGAACUAGAGUGCUGUAGAGGGGGGUAGAAUUUCAGGUGUAGCGGUGAAAUGCGUAGAGAUCUGAAGGAAUACCAGUGGCGAAGGCGGCCCCCUGGACAGACACUGACACUCAGAUGCGAAAGCGUGGGGAGCAAACAGGAUUAGAUACCCUGGUAGUCCACGCCGUAAACGAUGUCUACUUGGAGGUUGUGGCCUUGAGCCGUGGCUUUCGGAGCUAACGCGUUAAGUAGACCGCCUGGGGAGUACGGUCGCAAGAUUAAAACUCAAAUGAAUUGACGGGGGCCCGCCAC
rnacentral:rRNA from 1 species